rnacentral:rRNA from 1 species
AGAUUGAACGCUGGCGGCAGGCCUAACACAUGCAAGUCGAGCGGCAGCACGGGUACUUGUACCUGGUGGCGAGCGGCGGACGGGUGAGUAAUGCCUAGGAAUCUGCCUGGUAGUGGGGGAUAACGCUCGGAAACGGACGCUAAUACCGCAUACGUCCUACGGGAGAAAGCAGGGGACCUUCGGGCCUUGCGCUAUCAGAUGAGCCUAGGUCGGAUUAGCUAGGUUGGAGAGGUAAUGGCUCACCGAAGGUCCGACGAUCCCGUAACUGGUACUGACGAGGUAUGAUCAGUCCAC